rnacentral:rRNA from 1 species
GGAGGAAAAGAAACCAACUGGGAUUACCUUAGUAACGGCGAGUGAAGCGGUAAAAGCUCAAAUUUGAAAUCUGGUACUUUCAGUGCCCGAGUUGUAAUUUGUAGAAUUUGUCUUUGAUUAGGUCCUUGUCUAUGUUCCUUGGAACAGGACGUCAUAGAGGGUGAGAAUCCCGUUUGGCGAGGAUACCUUUUCUCUGUAAGACUUUUUCGAAGAGUCGAGUUGUUUGGGAAUGCAGCUCAAAGUGGGUGGUAAAUUCCAUCUAAAGCUAAAUAUUGGCGAGAGACCGAUAGCGAACAAGUACAGUGAUGGAAAGAUGAAAAGAACUUUGAAAAGAGAGUGAAAAAGUACGUGAAAUUGUUGAAAGGGAAGGGCAUUUGAUCAGACAUGGUGUUUUUUGCAUGCACUCGCCUCUCGUGGGCUUGGGCCUCUCAAAAAUUUCACUGGGCCAACAUCAAUUCUGGCAGCAGGAUAAAUCAUUAAGAAUGUAGCUACUUCGGUAGUGUUAUAGCUUUUUGGAAUACUGUUAGCCGGGAUUGAGGACUGCGCUCGGCAAGGA